UCCCUGGUGGCUUAGAUGGUAAAGCAUAUGUCUGCAAUGCAGGAGACCUGGGUUUGAUCCCUGGGUUGGGAA
rfam:Ovis aries breed Texel chromosome 13, whole genome shotgun sequence.